rnacentral:rRNA from 1 species
CAGUCGCCACGGUAAUACGUAGGGUGCGAGCGUUAAUCGGAAUUACUGGGCGUAAAGCGUGCGCAGGCGGUUCGUUAAGACAAAUGUGAAAUCCCCGGGCUCAACCUGGGAACUGCAUCUUAUACUGCGUAGCUGGAGUGCAGUAGAGGGUAGUGGAAUUUCCGGUGUAGCGGUGAAAUGCGUAGAUGUCGGAAGGAACACCAGUGGCGAAGGCGGCUACCUGGACUGACACUGACACUGAGGCGCGAAAGCGUGGGGAGCAAACAGGAUUAGAUACCCGUGUAGUCCCUGUCUCUUAUAC